rnacentral:lncRNA from 1 species
GUUGAUGCCAUAACCAAGUACUGUGGAGACAUCAAAAGAAUGAAGACAAAGAAAACAUACAGAAUUGGAAGCCCUGCCUCCCCAAGGCACAGACAGAGUCUCCUCCAUCUUACUCAAGCUACACCAAACUCAGCAAGUGUGCAAAUACUUUCAUCCUGCCAGCUUCACUCUGGAACUCUGCUUUCUUGGCUACUAUGGAAAAAACAACGUUCAUAAUUUUACACAGAAAUCAGUGACAUGCGUGGAAAGAAAAUAGAACAGAAGGUAGAAACCUGCGUUCUGGAAUUAGACUGCUGGCGUUUAAAGCUCAUCUCUGCCACUAACCACUUAUAUGAUGUUAGGCAAAUUAUUUUAUCUCUCUGUGCUAUUUUCUCAAAAGUAAAUUGUGAGUUGCAAUGUAGUUUGUUUAACUCAAAAAUUUUGAGAUUUGAAUAUAACAUUCAAACGCCAAGAUGUGUACCUGACACAGAAUAAAUGCUCAAUAAUGAUAAUCUCUUUUUAAAAAAUGCACAAAACGUAGAAAGCAAUACAUUGAAUUCCAUUCUUUAAAACGAGCACAUAUCUAAAUGCUGAGUAAUUUCUUACGGAGACCUUACAGAUACAGUUCUUUUUUCUAUUGUAUCCCCUGGAGUUAUUCAGAAAAGCAUUUUCUUUAAGCAAGUUUUAAUGGCUGUCACUAUGAUUUAAAGCUUUCUACAGAAUCUUUCACAUAGGGUAUGGCUGCCUAAAUUACUCUGGACCUAAUUUUAGAUAAACUU